UACGGAGGGUGCGAGCGUUGUCCGGAAUCAUUGGGCGUAAAGGGCGCGUAGGUGGCCUGCUAAGCGUGCGGUGAAAGUCGGGGGCUCAACCCCCGAUCGGCCGUGCGAACUGGGAGGCUUGAGCACUGUAGAGGCAGGCGGAAUUCCGGGUGUAGGCGGUGGAAUGCGUAGAGAUCCGGAAGAACACCGGUGGCGAAGGCGGCCUGCUGGGCAGUUGCUGCACUGAGGCGCGACAGCGUGGGGAGCAAACAGG
rnacentral:rRNA from 1 species